rnacentral:rRNA from 1 species
AGCCCAAGCUUAAAACCCAAAGGACUUGACGGUGUCCCACCCACCUAGAGGAGCCUGUUCUAUAAUCGAUUCUCCCCGUUAUACCUCACCACUUCUAGCUUCUCAGCCUGUAUACCUCCGUCGUAAGCUUACCAUAUGAACGCCUUUUAGUGAGCAAAAAGAUUUUACAUAAAUACGUCAGGUCAAGGUGCAGCCUACGAAAUGGCAAGAAAUGGGCUACAAUUUCUAUGAGCAUAGAACACAACGAAAGACUACAUGCAACUUAGUCAUGAAGGCGGAUUUAGUAGUAAAAAGAAAAUAGAGAGUUCUUUUUAAUCAGGCGCUGGGACGCGUACACACCGCCCGUCACCCUCUUCAAACGCUUAAACUCAGUUUAUAACAAACUCAUGCACCACAGAAGAGGUAAGUCGUAACAUGGUAAGCGUACUGGAAAGUGCGCUUGGAAUAAA